rnacentral:lncRNA from 1 species
UGUGUUAAUACAUGCUAGAGAUAUUAUAUAUGAAUCAUUCUCCUGAAGCUAUGUCACACAAAAAAGAAAAGAGAAUGGACCGAGCACAAAGGCUAGGAGAGUGGUCCAUUACAUCAAUCAAUACUUCAUAAUACUUAGGAAAAACUUAUGCAUCAAUCCAAAGUACCUUAAAUGAUCCAUGAUCAAUUAAGAGGUAGAUUUGAAAUGAUGAAAGUUCAUCAAGUACCAAU